rnacentral:sRNA from 15 species
GCUUAUUUUGUUCAAAGAGAAGGUGUUUUCUAGUGCGCAUUUUGUUUUUUUCCUUUUUGCGGGGUAACGGAGAAGAAUAUCGAACUCUUUUUUUUGGUUGGAAAACAAGAGGUGAAGCGGAGAUUGAAAUAAAUUAUGACUCUGUCAAACGCACUUUGCAAAGAAAAAGACAGCCUUUCUUGCCAAAGUCUCCAUCUUCUGCAGAGAAUGUUCUGGAAGCUUUUCAAGACGAAAAUAUUAUGAACCGUUUUGGAAUAACCAAGGGAAAUACUGCAAAUCAGUUCUAUAAAAAAGUGUACGCAUCGAGCUCGUUUGCUUAUUGCAUAUUUUCAUCAGACAAGGUAAUCACCUUGAUGCAAGCCAACAUUCCGGAGCAUAAUAGGCAUUAUUUAAUUGAUGAUCGCUCAAAAAAAAUAAUGGACGCAAUGGAUCUUUUUGAAAGAGGUGAAAUUGAUAUACAGGGAUUUCUGACAUGCACUGUUUCCUUAGCUGACCGCUUUUCAAAGCAGGACUUCUUUGAAGGUGUGGACAAUGAAAGCAAUUUAACUGGAAUGUCUUCUGAUAUGAAAUCUUCCACAUCGUCACUUUCAUCGAAUGCUUCUCAUUCAAGUCAGUCAUCUGAUAAGUCAUUGGUUCAAAUAAAUCCAUGCAAUGUGUGCCUAUGUAACCCAAAGUCUGUGUUGUUGCGCCCGUGCAAUCACGUAAACAUUUGUGGUACAUGUUGGGAUCAAAUUGUGGCCCACAACCAAGCAAAAAUCGACUUGGAAGAAAAUGAAAAUAUAAAGCCAAAAUGUCCAAGUUGCAACCAAGAAGUCGAAGAGGACAUACGCAAUGUUUUUAUUUAUAAUUAACUUGUGUAAGUUAAGAACGAAAAAAUUUAAGAAAACUGCUAUUAUGAUUUCUGUGUAUUUGGACUAUUGCACAUUUUUUAAUUUCAAUAAAAUUAUGUUAUAAAAGGAAAUGCUGUCAAAAAAAUAUAAGUGUAUUUUACAUGCGAAAUUAGUUAAUUAUUUUCUGGCGGACUUAAGUCGUUUCGAAACGACAUAUCUCCGCCGUG